GGGGGUGUUAAAAAUACUCCCUCCCCCCGCAGUAGUUCCGGCCCUGAUAAGAAGUAACUAAUGCGACGAUAAUAUUGUAAGUAAUAUGUAUUCAUCAAUAUUUGCAGCUGAAAACAAUGGUAUAUAGGUAUUCAUUACUGUGCUGAAACUUGGUUUCUCUUCCUCCAUGGAUACGUGCCAAUGGUGUUGAAGACAUCUCGGUUGUUUCUAAACCUUUACAAUUUUUGUUAUGUUGGGAAAAGUGUUGAAUUUCGUUGCGUUCCUUGUAAAUCAGAA